rnacentral:rRNA from 1 species
UACGUAGGGAGCUAGCGUUGUCCGGAAUCAUUGGGCGUAAAGCGCGCGUAGGCGGCCCGGUAAGUCCGCUGUGAAAGUCAAAGGCUCAACCUUUGAAUGUCAGCGGAUACUGCCGGGCUAGAGUCCGGAAGAGGCGAGUGGAACUCCUGGUGUAGCGGUGGAAUGCGCAGAUAUCAGGAAGAACACCCGUGGCGAAGGCGGUUCUCUGGGACGGUACUGACGCUGAGACGCGAAAGCGUGGGGAGCGAACAGG